rnacentral:lncRNA from 1 species
UUUCCAGUUGAUAAAUGCUAUGCAUUAUUGAAAUAUAUAUAUACACAACUAUACAAGGUCUGAAGGUAUACUGGCCUCUCAGAUUUUGAUACUAAUUACAGAACAGAAAAGCAAGUAAACACAUAAAAUGGCAAACAGAACCUACUUCAUUUAUGCAUCAAAUUGCCUCAAACAACCGAAACCAAUCAGAUUCUUCACGGUGUUGGAUUCAGUUCGUUACGGGAAAAUCCAUUAUCAAAGUUGAGAGAAUAGCUGUGGAAGUCAUAGCUGAAUUGCAUGCUGCUUCUUUGCCUUUGCCUCCACCACUGUGACUUGACCUUCCAAACCAACUGUUUCAACACACAGUGCGGCCUUCUUCGUACACUGAUAAGUUUAACACCAUGCUCAUGGUUUGAUACUUUCUUUUCCCACUUCAAGAACCGGAUUCUCUUCAAGAUUUGCAUUUUCAAAAAAGUAAUAAUCCAAUGUAACACUCAAAGCAGGAGAGCUUACAAGGUUAAAGCAAGCAGGGUAAUGGAUACAUACAUGUAUAUAC